rnacentral:lncRNA from 1 species
GUCACGUGAUGCAUGUCAUGGCCGCCUCCAUGGCCCGGGGAGGCGUGAGUGCCAGGGUUCUACUGCAGGCUGCCAGGGGCACCUGGUGGAACAGACCUGGGGGCACUUCCGGGUCGGGGGAGGGGGUGGCGCUGGGGACAACCAGAAAGUUUCAAGCGACAGGUACCUGGGGCGCCCGGGGCGGGCAGCGUUAAUCCGUCAGAUGCCGGCGGGGCGGGGCUCGGCGCAGCCGCUCACCGAACCGUGUUUUCCAGGCUCGCGCCCGGCUGGAGAGGAGGACGCGGGCGGCCCGGAGCGGCCCGGGGACGUGGUGAACGUGGUGUUCGUAGACCGCUCAGGCCAGCGGAUCCCAGUGAGUGGCAGAGUCGGGGACAAUGUUCUUCACCUGGCCCAGCGCCACGGGGUGGACCUGGAAGGGGCCUGUGAAGCCUCCCUGGCCUGCUCCACCUGCCAUGUGUAUGUGAGUGAAGACCACCUGGAUCUCCUGCCUCCUCCCGAGGAGAGGAGAACUCGCGGCUGGGCUGCCAGAUUGUGCUGACACCGGAGCUGGAAGGAGCGGAAUUCACCCUGCCCAAGAUCACCAGGAACUUCUACGUGGAUGGCCAUGUCCCCAA